CCUUCUACCUCCUGAUUCAUCCUAUAGUUUCUUGAUCUUUGUGUUUGUUGGUCACCUUGUAUUUUGCAGUGUAUUGAUAUGUUUCAACGCAAAAGUUCAUUGAAACCAUCAAUAGGAGAGCAUGAUAAUUUGUUGUUGUUGUCCAUGUGGGUGUAGGACUGGACUGAUUGAAGGUCAUCCACCUCAAACAAAUCUUACAAAUCAACAUAAUAUACUAAACCUACUGAUCUAUGUAUCUUUUUGUGAGUGAAAAUGUUAACGCAGUGACUAAUAUGGAAUCCAAAGUGCCAACAAAGGGAUUUUUUUCGACAAAGGAAUAAUUAGAUAUUACUUAAGGGUACUAAAAAAUUGGAGAAAUUGCUAACAGGGGUGCCGCUGAUUCAAUUCGAGUAGUUCGGAGCUUUUACUUCAGGAUUUCAAUAAUUGUUUAGCAUUUAUAGCCCGUAUGUAUCUAAUUAUUGUGCCGUCGACAGUCGGAUCAGAUCGAGUCCUCUCAUAGAUCCACUGGUUGAUGAAUUCGUAAUAUUCACGAUUGAAUAUUAUUAUGAUGGAUAUUCCUCCUGGGGUGGAUAUAUCGCCCUUAUCCACCCCUUUGGGUAGGCCACUGGUCUUCAGCACUUUCACCUUACCUGUUCAUGAUCUUUUAAAAUCAGAUUAUGUAUGCAGAAUUCAAUUUUGUAGAUGGUAUGCCUAAAUCAACUAGACAUUUGGGGACACAACCAUGGUGUCUCCAUGGCCCUAGUCUAAGGAGAAUUCUCCUACUCUACAAUAAAAGAUAAUUGGAGCCUACUCUAUAGAAUUUUUUGUUGCAAAUUUCCUGAAAACUAGAGUAUCUUGUAUAUGCAAAAUUUCGUGUUGACAAAAUAAUAAACCAUAAUAAAAAGUU